CAGCAGCCGCGGUAAUACGGAGGGGGCUAGCGUUGUUCGGAAUUACUGGGCGUAAAGCGCGCGUAGGCGGCUUGGUAAGUUAGAGGUGAAAGCCUGGGGCUCAACCCCAGAAUUGCCUUUAAGACUGCCGAGCUAGUAGGUGAGAGAGGUAAGUGGAAUUCCGAGUGUAGAGGUGAAAUUCGUAGAUAUUCGGAAGAACACCAGUGGCGAAGGCGGCUUACUGGCUCAUUCUAGACGCUGAGGUGCGAAAGCGUGGGGAGCAAACAGGAUUAGAUACCCCCGUAGUCCCUGUCUCUUAUAC
rnacentral:rRNA from 1 species